GCCACCACGCCCGGCUAUUUGCUGGGCUACUGAGAAGUGGACAGACGAAAUUGUGAGGACUGACUCCGGCAGCCGCCCACCCUGGGCAGCCCAGGCAUUGACCAGCCUGGCCUCCAAUUCAUGGUCAGACUCCUGCCUCAGCCUCCUGAGUGCCGAGAAAGACAGCCAGGCAGCCAGCAGAACAGCCUCCAUGCUCCCCAUGCAGUCUCCUGGGGUCUACGCUCUGCUCCCCUCAUCCCAGGCUCCCGCACCUCUCUUCUCAGCCCUCACCAGGUAUCAACACCUCCCCAUGUGGCCAGCUGUGCCCUACCCCACAUUCUAGGUUGGGGUCAAAGGUUAGUGGAGUCCUACUUCUUGAAGGGAUAUCUCCUCACCCUCCUUGGGGUGCCCAGAGCAGAGCUCCCCCAGGAAAGGGGGGGCAAUGCACCAUACUGUCCCCAGUCCAGUCUCAGAAGUACAGGGUGUGGUUGGGGAUCACUGGGAGGAGCCCCGGGCAGAGGCUACCAGGGAAGCUGGGGUCCCCCUUCCCCGUGUGGGGCUGCAGGAGGGGACAAGCAGAGCUGGGCACAGGGCAGCAGGAGCGGCAGUGCCAAUGCAGGUGACGAGAGCAGUGUGAAGACAGGACAUCAGGGGUCUCGAUGCCUUUGGAUGGGAAGCUGAGACGGGAAGCUUCCUGCUGCUGCCAGGGAGGAGCCAUUGCUCAGGUCCAGCUGCCAGGUUUGGCUCAAACUCUGGCGCCCUCUAAACCGCAGUCUCAGGAAAUCCCGGCCACUGUACCCGCAGGUGUCAGCUGAGCCCAUCUGAAAGCCCUCAGGGUGCUCCCAGAGCGCUAUGAAUGCAGGGAACAGGGCCCCAGGUGGGGCGCCUGCAGCAGAUGGUGGGGGUCAGGACAGGCCAGGACUUCGCCCCAGCCCCCGCACGGUGUCCCCGAACCCUGCCAGAGGCCGCCCCGGCUCCGAGUGCGGGGCCGGGACGCUGCUCUCUGUUAAUUAAACAGCGCACCAAAAAAAAAAAAAAAAAAAAAAGUGAGACGCUGAGAGACCGUGAGCCCGGAGCACGCGCCCCGGGCUCUCCAACGGAGAAUAGCUCACUUCCCCCGCCGCACCGAAAAUAGCUGCCAGGAACCAGCCGCGCUCGGCUCCCACAGCGCAGGCUCGGGGCGAGAGCUAGGCCCCGCCUUCUCCUGCCCCUGAAUGAAGAGGGGAAUGGGGUCCCCACGGAGGCCCACGGCGCCCCAGCCCCCGUCCCCGAGGGACCAGAAAGCGAAGGCCCAAAGUGCACGGCAGGAAACCACCGGUUCACCAGCUCACUGUUUUGGGUGUCUGUUUUCAUUCAUUCCUGCAAGUCCCGGGCAGGCAGAGCCUGGGAGCCAUGAAAGGAGAGACAGCCUCUGCCUUAGAGCCCUCAUGCCCAGCGGAAGAUGGGAGUUAAAAGCCAUGUGUGUGCAAAGAGGAGGGUCCCACUCAGGGUCGCGGGGGGGGGGACCCUGAAAGGGUACAUGAAAGGGCUGGACUAUAAGCAGCCUCUGUUCAGCCAGAGGCCCACUUUAGAGGUCACCCACUCACCCUGGCAUCCAGGCCCUAAGACUGUUUUCCAGGUCCACUUAGGAAGCUACCAGGCAGAGGGCUGAUUCGAAGCCUGGGAUGGGUGGGGACCUUUUGUCAAUGUUUUCCCCGAACCUCGAUACCAUCUGCCCAUUUCACAGAUGGGCUAAGGGAGCCUCGGUGGGAAAAGGAAUGGCCAAGGAUCCGGCCUUAAUAAGCACAGGAGCUGUAUUUGAAUCCAGGCCUGGAGGGGCUAUGAGCCUGAGCUGCCCACACCAGCUGGCCAGACAUCCGGCCUCACACUCUCCCUCCUCACACCCUCCCCUCCACUGCAGGAAGAAAGUAGAGGUUCCGGCCGGGAU